rnacentral:rRNA from 1 species
GAUGAACGCUAGCAGCAGGCCUAAUACAUGCAAGUCGAACGGUGUCUUCGGACAUAGUGGCGCACGGGUGCGUAACACGUAUGCAACCUACCUUACAUUGGGGGAUAGCCUUUCGAAAGGGAGAUUAAUACCGCAUAAGACAGUAGCUGGGCAUCCAGCAGCUGUUAAAGAUUUAUCGAUGUAAGAUGGGCAUGCGUCCAAUUAGUUAGUUGGCGAGGUAACGGCUCACCAAGACUUUGAUUGGUAGGGGAACUGAGAGGUCAAUCCCCCACACUGGCACUGAGAUACGGGCCAGACUCCUACGGGAGGCAGCAGUAGGGAAUAUUGGGCAAUGGACGCAAGUCUGACCCAGCCAUGCCGCGUGCAGGAUGAAGGCGUUAUGCGUUGUAAACUGCUUUUAUACAGGAAGAAACGACUCUUGCGAGAGGCAUUGACGGUACUGUAUGAAUAAGCACCGGCUAACUCCAUGCCAGCCGCCGCUGUAAAAC